AUGCUUUGACUCUAACAUAUAGUCAAUCAUAUUCCACAUAACAUAUCACCAAUCAAUUAUCAUAUAAAUCCUUAUCGAAAAUCCGACAUCGUCUCGUCUAUGUAUAAGACUAUCCACCUAUUAUCUUAUCCCAAUCAUUAAUCAACCAACAAAAUCCAAUAGCUAUAAUCCAUAUAUUCUUAUCCAAUAUCAAUCAUACGAAUCAUCUAUCACUUCACAAUAUCAAAACUAACACGUACUUCACAUAAUCAUCACCUGAUAGCACUUAGAUCACAUAUUAUCACAUUAUGCAUACUUAUCAACAAUUAUUCACCUUAUAGACUCAGCCAUAUAG
rnacentral:lncRNA from 1 species